rnacentral:rRNA from 1 species
GACGAACCGUGCGAACGUUAUUCGGAAUCAUUGGGCUUAAAGGGCGCGUAGGCGGCGGCGUAAGUUGGAAGUGAAAUCCCAUCGGCUCAACCGUGGAAUCGCUCCCAGUACUGCGUCGCUCGAGGGGGAUAGGGGUCUGCGGAACUACCGGUGGAGCGGUGAAAUGUGUUGAUAUCGGUGGGAACGCCAGUGGCGAAAGCGGCAGACUUGACCCUUCCUGACGCUGAGACGCGAAAGCGUGGGGAGCGAACAGG